rnacentral:tRNA from 3 species
CGGGGUGUGGCGCAGCUUGGUAGCGCACAUGGUUUGGGACCAUGGGGUCGGAAGUUCGAAUCUUCUCACCCCGACCA